rnacentral:lncRNA from 1 species
AGGGAGCUACCAUUUGAUUUUUAUAGGGGGGGGCUAGGAUGAAAAAUGUUGUCCUGCAUUUUUUUUUAGCUGUAAUCUCUGUCCUGCCUUUUUAUUUUUCACUCUGUUCGGUCCUGCCUUUUUUUUUUUAGUUUAUCCAGACUUUUUUUUACCUAAAUUGUCGUCCUGACUUUUUUUUUUUGUAAGUGUCUCAUCCUGCCUUUUUUUUUACUCAAAACUCCUGUCCUGCCUAUUUUUUUCAAAUUUCAUCCUAGCCCCCCCCCCCCCUAAAAAUCAAAUGGUAGCUCCC